UACGAAGGGGGCUAGCGUUGCUCGGAAUCACUGGGCGUAAAGCGCACGUAGGCGGAUUGGUAAGUCGGAUGUGAAAGCCUCGGGCUCAACCCGGGAAGUGCACUCGAUACUGCCAGGCUAGAGUAUCGGAGAGGUUGGUGGAAUUCUCGGUGUAGAGGUGAAAUUCGUAGAUAUCGGGAGGAACACCAGUGGCGAAGGCGGCGCCUGGGCCAUAUUGACGCUGAGGUGCGAAAGCCGUGGGGAGCAAACAGGG
rnacentral:rRNA from 1 species